UGGAGGGGAGGAAGAACAGGAGGCAAUAUGCGCCAAAGCCCACAGGAAGAGCAUGGCCAGGGGCCACAAGAGGACAUAUGAGCCUGGCCCAAGCUGUGUAGAUAAAGCAGCACUAGUAAGCAGGCGACAGACUGACCCCAAAAUAGGUGGGAGCUUGGUGUACCAUAAAAACACUUAAAAUCAGCAGAGAAACAAAUUACUCCAAAAUAGCAUCUUGGAGCCAUUGGUUAACUGUAUGGGGGAGGGGGAUGUGGUACUUGAACUUGUCAGAUUUAAAAAGCUAUGUCAGUAUUGGGAAUGUCAUGGAACUACCAGAAGUGAGCUGAAUCACUGCACAAAAUGGGACUUGCAAGUCACACACAUUCUGUACUAAGGUAGGAAAUGCUAAGAUAACCUUUAAAAUAACUCUCCAGUGGGGACACCACACCCUCCUCUACCUGGUUGUUGUUUGGUCCUUCCUCCUGUUCAGACUCCAUGUCUGUGUCAGUACCAGCCGGCUUUGCAGCAAUGGCAUGAGUGCACCGUGGCUUCUCUCUCAAGAAUUGCAAUGACUAUAAAAAGUCAAAGCAAUAUUUUCCCCACUAUAUUUGUGCCUUUCCAACCCUCUCUCCCUUCGUCUCACGCUCUAAUUCAGAAUUUGUAUAAUAGAUUGGUCAGGAGUCUCCUGCUUAGUGAUGUCAAGGAUUAGCAUAAAACCAGGCACUCUGGUCUUCCUCCAGCUGCACCAUACAGGUGCUGUCUGUAAGUGGCCUCUCCCGCACAUGGCUGUUCAUAUUUAAAUUAGUUAAAAUGAGAUGAAGUGAAAAAAUCCAGUCCUCCUGUUACACCAGCUGUUUCAAUGCCCACACCUGGCCAGUGGCUACCUUUCAGAUAGUGAUGGGACAGAACACGGCUACCACUGCGGAAAGUUCUAUUGGACAGAGCAUGCUGUGUCUGAGGGAGGGAGGGAAAGGCAAGUCCAGUUGCAGCAGAGUGAGAAAGGUCCGUUUCCUGAGUGAGUGAGGAGGAGGGUUGCCUGACAAGAGCCAAGGGGGAGGCACCGGGCAGGAGGAGGCCGAGGGAGGAGAAUUCAAAGGAGUUGCUAUGGUGAGCAAGAGCAGAGAGCCAGCAGGAAAAGCAGGAACUCCAGGCAGCACUGAGACUUAGAGACCUGGCAUUUGUUACAACAGUAUCUGGGAUGAGAUGAUGACAGGAGCCUGGGCCUACCCACACCAUCCACUGCCCACCUCUGCACCCAGUCACCCUCCAGGACUUGCCAAGUGGUUCAGCUGGUUUAGGAUUUGUGAUCUCUGGUGUCAUCUGUGUUUCUUAUAGUUAUUUACAUUUGUUCCUGGAACAGUGUAAACCAAGUUAUGUCCCUCAACUAGCCAGGGCCAAGACACAGGAGCAGAAGGCUGGCUGUAUUUCUCUGCCUCCCUUCCCCCCAGAGUCACCUUUCUCUGAGUCUUGCCGUCCCCACAACACAGGGUAGAGCACUCCUCUUUGUCCCCUAACUCAACCCAGGCAUAGGGAACGACUUGGCUCAUACAGAUUAUUCUGGGUAUAAUUGCUCUCUCCUUCCUGUGAAUGCUGAAUUUAUCCUAACCCCAAGAUCUCUCCUCCAC
rnacentral:lncRNA from 1 species